rnacentral:rRNA from 1 species
UCCCUUAGACGUUCUGGGCCGCACGCGCGCUACACUGACUAGUCCAACGAGUGUUUGUACCUUUGCUGAUAGGCAUGGGCAAUCUCUGAACACUAGUCGUGAUAGGGAUCGAUUUUUGGAAUUAUUAAUCGUCAACGAGGAAUCCCUAGUAAACGCGAGUCAUCAGCUCGCAUUGAUUACGUCCCUGCCCUUUGUACACACCGCCCGUCGCACCUACCGAUUGAAUGGUCCGGUGAAGCCUCCGGAUUGGACGCGCUGGCCCUGCCAGACGGCCGAGAAGUUGGCUAAAUCUUACCAUUUAGAGGAAGGUGAAGUCGUANCA